AUUGAACACUGGCGGUAGGCCUAACACAUGCAAGUCGAACGAGUGGCGGACGGGUGAGUAAUGUCUGGGAAACUGCCCGAUGGAGGGGGAUAACUACUGGAAACGGUAGCUAAUACCGCAUACCAUCGGAUGUGCCCAGAUGGUAUUAGCUAGUAGGUGGGGUAACGGCUCACCUAGGGGACGAUCCCUAGCUGGUCUGAGAGGAUGACCGUCCACACUGGAACGGAGACACGGUCCAGACUCCGUGGUGAGGCAGCAGUGGGGAAUAGUGCACACUGGGCGCAAGCCUGAUGCAGCCAUGCCGCGUGUAUGAAGAAGGCCUUCGGGUUGUAAAGUACUUUCAGCGAGGAGGCGUUACUCGCAGAAGAAGCACCGGCUAACUCCGUGCCAGCAGCCGCGGUAAUUC
rnacentral:rRNA from 1 species